AUUGAACGCUGGCGGCAUGCCUUACACAUGCAAGUCGAACGGCAGCACGGGUGCUUGCACCUGGUGGCGAGUGGCGAACGGGUGAGUAAUACAUCGGAACAUGUCCUGUAGUGGGGGAUAGCCCGGCGAAAGCCGGAUUAAUACCGCAUACGAUCUACGGAUGAAAGCGGGGGACCUUCGGGCCUCGCGCUAUAGGGUUGGCCGAUGGCUGAUUAGCUAGUUGGUGGGGUAAAGGCCUACCAAGGCGACGAUCAGUAGCUGGUCUGAGAGGACGACCAGCCACAUGGGGACGGAGACACGGCCCAGCCCCCAAGGGGGGGCAGCGGGGGGGAAUUUGGGAAAAGGGGCGAAAGCCUGACCCAGCAAGGCCGCGGGUGGGAAGAAGGCCUGCGGGUUGUAAAGACCUUUUUUCCGGAAAGAAAUCCUUGGCCCUAAUACGGUGGGGGGAUGGCGGUACCGGAAGAAAAAGCACCGGCUAACUACGU
rnacentral:rRNA from 1 species